UCUUGCAAAUUGUACUAGACCAGA
rnacentral:siRNA from 1 species